CAGACUUGUUUGGCCAAUGCCCCUAGUUCUCACUUUUCUUUCUCCAAAGAAAAAAAUCAGAAAAGCAAAACCAGAGCAAACCAAACAUAGGUUAGAGCUAAUGAGAAGUACAGGAUGUCUGGUUUCAACUUUUAAAAGAUGACCACUAAAUUAGAUUGUAACUUCAGAGAGGAAGGAAAAUUAAGACUAUCGAUGAAUUCUUUGUCUUUAGCAGUGCCAAGAAAGCAGAGAAAAAAAGAAUCCGCAGAAGAGAAGAGACCUAGAGAAGUUGCUUAGUCCUCCCCCGCGGGAGGGCUGUACCUCAAAAAUGCCAUAUUGGAGGGACGUCCAGUUCUCCUAGGUUUCCAGGGAAACUCUGUCCAAGUUGUGGAUAUGUCAUUGGUUUGUUACCCUCUUUAUUCACUGGUCUUCUCUGUCUCAUACCACAAUGGCAAACCCAGAGAGAUGGACCGACCUAGUUGGCCUGGUGAUCAGGUUGCUACUAAUGAAGAUCUGCCUGCCAAACCUGCCUUCCUCGAAAUAUCCCUUCAUGUGAAAGCAUUAUGAGAAAGGGUAAAUCUAAUUGUAUACUAUAAUAGUGGCAGUAGGUGAGUUUACGUCACACACGCUAGGAAACUGCUUUAAUCUUUCGACAUCUCUCUCUUUCCAAAUCAUGCACGCAUUCAUUCCAUCAUCAAACAUUUAUUGAAAAUCUACACACCAGACACUGUUCUAGGCCCUGGGGAUAAGAAGUAAUGAAAACAACUGUCCCCUAGGAGUCUGCACUCUAGUUGAGGGAGGUGCUGGCUAGCCUCUGUUUACCCUCCAGGUCCAUCUUUGCCCUUUUCUGUGCCCCAGGAGGCUAGCCCCGCACUCUACUGUGCCUUGUCCUCUGGGAGGGUGAUGGAAGGUAGGGAGAGUGGGAGAUCCCAGCGGGAGGUUGUAGUAUGGAAGCACUGGAGAGCUAGGCAUUUUCUCCCCGCCAACUCCUUCCAGGCUGCAGUUUUGGCAGUGGUUGUGUUCCUGCCCUCUAGCCACAGAUCCUGGGGGAUCCCCCUCUCCCAUAGCCACAGAUCUUGGCAGGUUCCUCUGACACCUCUCUUACCUCCCCACCCUUCUUGACCCUUUUUACUUAAUGAGAGGCAACCCAUGGCUGCUCAAUGCUGUCGGUUCUAUGUUGACUUAACUGUUCUUACCUCUUCUGUUACCCUUUGAGAAUGUCACUUCUUUUCUGCCAGGACCUUGACUGAUACAGAAAUACAGAAAAUAAACAAACAAAUGAGUUAUA